UACAGAGGUCUCAAGCGUUGUUCGGAUUCAUUGGGCGUAAAGGGUGCGUAGGUGGCGCUGUAAGUCGGGUGUGAAAUUUCGGAGCUUAACUCCGAAACUGCAUUCGAUACUGCGGUGCUUGAGGACUGGAGAGGAGACUGGAAUUCAUGGUGUAGCAGUGAAAUGCGUAGAUAUCGGAAGGAACAUCAGUGGCGAAAGCGACUUCCUGGACCAAUACUGACGCUCAUGUGCGAAAGCGUGGGGAGCAAACAGG
rnacentral:rRNA from 1 species